rnacentral:tRNA from 4 species
UGGUGGAGCUAGACGGGAUCGAACCGUCGACCUCUUGCAUGCCAUGCAAGCGCUCUCCCAGCUGAGCUAUAGCCCC